UUCUAUGGCUUGGCUUGCCACACUCGAAACAAACAUCAUUGUCAGCUCUACAGACACCUUGAUGGUUUAUGCCAUAUUUCUGGAAAAGAGGAUUUAUUCGAGCACUGCUGAUACUAACAUGAGAUUUAGAGCCUGGCGCCCUAUAUUUGUUACCAUUUCUGAACUUAGGGACUAGAGCAUUAGCUGAGGACAGAGUUGGAACUAAAGACUUUGGAUGGAACUGGGAACG
rnacentral:lncRNA from 1 species